CUUGUAAAGAGAGCUCCCAAAUGUACAGGAACUGCAAGGAGACAAGAACAGCUAAGGCCAGUCUGAAGAAAAUGCAUCACAGAGAGAGAGAGAAGAGCCUAGAGAAAGGGGACUGCUUCCAUUUUGUUGUCUACAUCCGUUCCUUGUUACUGACAUCUGUUUUCCAUCUACUUUUUGUUGCUACAGGCUGGGCUUGUACGUGAAGACACUCAGACUCUGCUACCCAGGCUGCUCUGUUGGCUGCUGCCUGGGAUCUUUCAGGAGUGAAAGAAAGCGAUGUGGUGUUGGACAGCAGCUUUUGUGCCACAGCUGAAGUGCUUCUGCUGAUACAGCAGAACUGUACGCAAUGCCUGAGCACGAUGUGAUGGCAGACUCAGACUGAUGGCAGCUUCAGCCCACCCCACAUAUGCGCCUUCCCCUGCUGCGGGAUGUUCAACAUGUGAAAACUUUUAGUGCAACCUGCACCACCUUGCCCAACUAGUCUCAAAACUAGGACACAGAAGUACGACAGCCUCACACAGAUGCUUUAUCUGCCUCUGACACCAGAUAGCAGCGUUGCAGGGUCUGAAGAAACACCAGCAAGUAGCAAGAACUGCCAGACAUGCCCCCGUGGGGAAGGAAAGAGGAAGAAAUCCCCCCCGAGGCUGCAGGGAGCCAGCAGGUGGCUGCAGAUGCCCACUCAGAAGUGGUCAGAAGUCUGUCUCCAGAUGCUUUCACAAACAGCUUUAUGGCACAUGAAGUUAUCCGUGGUUAUCCAUGCCCCACAGAGGCUCAGCCUGCGUAAAAGGAGGAGGAAUGAAACCUCCUGA
rnacentral:lncRNA from 1 species